UUUCCUUCGGGACAGAGGAGACAGGUGGUGCAUGGUUGUCGUCAGCUCGUGUCGUGAGAUGUUGGGUUAAGUCCCGCAACGAGCGCAACCCCUGUCCCCAGUAGCCAGCAGGUAAAGGCGGGCACUCUGGGGGGACUGCCGGAGACAAUCCGGAGGAAGGUGGGGAUGACGUCAAAUCAUCAUGCCCCUUACGGUCUGGGCUACACACGUGCUACAAUGGCGCUCAACAAAGGGAAGCGAGCCCGCGAGGGGGAGCGAACCCCAAAAACAGCGUCCCAGUUCGGAUUGAGUCUGCAACUCGACUAUAUGAAGCCGGAUCGCUAGUAAUCGCGAAUCAAAUGCCGCGGUGAAUACGUUCCCGGGUC
rnacentral:rRNA from 1 species